rnacentral:rRNA from 1 species
AUGGAUUGGAACCCACAGGUGCUUUGUUGGAACGUGAGGGGGCUCAAUAACAUGUCUAAAAGGAAUGCGGUGAGGGAUUUCGUUCGGGAUGCUAGGGUUAAUUUGGUGUGUCUCCAAGAGACAAAACUUGAUGGAAUUGACACCUAUGUGGUAAUGCAAUGUAUAGGGCCAUCCUUUGAUGGUUUUUCUUAUCUGUCGGCUUCAGAGACUAGGGGUGGUAUCCUUGUGGGUUGGGACCGAUCUAUUUUGGAGAUUAACAACAUUACGAUGGAUAGCUACUCCCUCACGAGGCAGGUGCAAAAUAAAGACGGAUGGGAGUGGUAG